AUACUUACCUGGCAAGGAAGAUACCAUGAUCACAAAGGUGGUUUUCCCAGGGAGAGGCUUAUCCAUUGCACUCUGGAUGUGCUGACCCCUGUGAUUUCCACAAAUGUGGGAAACUCAACUGCAUAAUUUGUGGUAGUGGGGGACUGCAUUCACGCUCUCCCGUU
rnacentral:snRNA from 1 species